rnacentral:sRNA from 1 species
GUUUGCACUCAUCGGGGAAGGGUGAGAACCUUCGACUAAGGUUCGAUUCGAGCGAAAGCGAGAAAACGUUGCCACAGGCAACGGCCCGAAGGGUGAGGAGCGAAGCGACGAAUAAUCCUUCCCCCACCACCA